rnacentral:snRNA from 1 species
AGCUUUGCGCAGUGGCAGUAUCAUAGCCAAUGAGGUUUAUCCGAGGUGCGAUUAUUGCUAAUUGAAAACUUAAUUGUGCCUUAUAGGCCCCACGUGGUCUGGCCUCUGUCUGCCUCUCCAACAUCACUUUUCACCUUCCCUCUAUCACACUCCACACUUGAGCCACAUUGUUUAGUUGCUCAAGAGCA